rnacentral:rRNA from 1 species
GACGAACGCUGGCGGCGUGCUUAACACAUGCAAGUCGAACGGUGAAGGGGCCUGCUUUUGUGGGCCCUGGAUGAGUGGCGAACGGGUGAGUAACACGUGAGUAACCUGCCCCCUUCUUCUGGAUAACCACAUGAAAGUGUGGCUAAUACGGGAUAUUCUGGGUCUGUCGCAUGAUGGGUCUGGGAAAGAUUGCGCCUUUGGGUGUUUUUGGUGGGGGAUGGGCUCGCGGCCUAUCAGCUUGUUGGUGGGGUGAUGGCCUACCAAGGCGGUGACGGGUAGCCGGCCUGAGAGGGUGGACGGUCACACUGGGACUGAGACACGGCCCAGACUCCUACGGGAGGCAGCAGUGGGGAAUAUUGCACAAUGGGCGCAAGCCUGAUGCAGCGACGCCGCGUGAGGGAUGGAGGCCUUCGGGGUGUAAACCUCUUUCGCCAGUGAAGCAGGCCUGCUCCUUGUGGGUGGGUUGACGGUAGCUGGAGAAGAAGCGCCGGCUAACUACGUG